AGUAAGUUAUUGCCAGGGUUUUUAUUUUAUACUUUAAACAUUGAUUUUAUUUUGUAUGUUUUUAGAUGUUCAUGUUUUUGAAUGUUUUAUUUGAAUAAUAUAAAAAAUAAAAUAUAUAUUGACAUGGAUUAAACAAAGAUAUAUAUUAUUCUAUGUUGCAUAAACAAAUUGGCAAAAUAGAGAUGGAAGAUAAAAAUAUGGUCAAAGUAAUAAGAGUC
rnacentral:misc_RNA from 1 species